rnacentral:SRP_RNA from 1 species
UGAGUGGCUCUAGGCUGGCGGGUCAGCCCUCCGCUGUUCGCAAACGGGCUUUAUGGCGAGCUGCAACAGAGUGAGUGAGGUAGAGACGUGAGAGUCCUGCUCCUACGUUGAGGCUUUGUCCUGCUCGACCUUGCUGUAAGGUAACUGGGUCAGUCUCGGAAGAGAGCAGCCCUAACUUGUAGUCUAGGUGCUUGUAGGGUUGCAGAGCUGAGGAAGAGUUAGGAUUAACUUUCAUUGCCUCUAUUAAGCAAGCUCUGGAGAGCUGCUCA